CCUACGGGGGGCUGCAGUGGGGAAUAUUGGACAAUGGGGGGAACCCUGAUCCAGCCGUGCCGCGUGUGUGAAGAAGGCCCUCGGGUUGUAAAGCACUUUCAGUGAGGAAGAACGCCUGGUGGUUAAUACCCAUCAGGAAAGACAUCACUCACAGAAGAAGCACCGGCUAACUCCGUGCCAGCAGCCGCGGUAAUACGGAGGGUGCGAGCGUUAAUCGGAAUUACUGGGCGUAAAGCGCGCGUAGGUGGCUUGAUAAGCCGGUUGUGAAAGCCCCGGGCUCAACCUGGGAACGGCAUCCGGAACUGUCAAGCUAGAGUGCAGGAGAGGAAGGUAGAAUUCCCGGUGUAGCGGUGAAAUGCGUAGAGAUCGGGAGGAAUACCAGUGGCGAAGGCGGCCUUCUGGACUGACACUGACACUGAGGUGCGAAAGCGUGGGUAGCAAACAGGAUUAGAUACCCCUGUAGUC
rnacentral:rRNA from 1 species